rnacentral:tRNA from 1 species
GCCUGAGUGGCUCAGUCGGUUGAGCAUCCAACUUCAGCUCAGGUCGUGAUCUCACGGUUCGUGAGUUCAAGCCCCGCCUCGGGCU